rnacentral:rRNA from 1 species
UCCAGACUCCUACGGGAGGCAGCAGUGGGGAAUAUUGGGCAAUGGGCGAAAGCCUGACCCAGCAACGCCGCGUGAAGGAAGAAGGCUUUCGGGUUGUAAACUUCUUUUGACAGGGAAGAGCAGAAGACGGUACCUGUCGAAUAAGCCACGGCUAACUCCGUGCCAGCAGCCGCGGUAAUACGGAGGAUGCGAGCGUUAUCCGGAUUUAUUGGGUUUAAAGGGUGCGUAGGCGGACGCUUAAGUCAGCGGUAAAAUUGCGGGGCUCAACCUCGCUCCGCCGUUGAAACUGGCGUUCUUGAGUGGGCGAGAAGUAUGCGGAAUGCGUGGUGUAGCGGUGAAAUGCAUAGAUAUCACGCAGAACUCCGAUUGCGAAGGCAGCGUACCGGCGCCCAACUGACGCUCAUGCACGAAAGCGUGGGUAUCGAACAGGAUUAGAUACCCGCGUA